AUACACCAAAACACACGUAAGAUGCUGAUUCAGAUUGCGAGAUAGUUUCUAAAUUUUGCUAGCUAGUCGGGCUACCUAUGCCUGAAAGUUACUUGCCCACAAAAUAAUUCACUAGCACGAAAUUUAAUUGU